CUCACAACGAGGCGGAGGGGGGGGGUACGGCCCGCGGCCGCACGGGGCGAGCUCCCGCCUGCUGCCAUCUUGGGCUCGCGACGAGGCGGAGGGGCGCGAGGUCGCUGCUGCCCGGCUCGGGGUGGUACUUUUAUAACCUCACUUGCCUGAUUCUUCAGUCCUAAUGCAUGCAAGACUCCCAAGGAUAUUAAGGAAAGCUUAGAGUUGAGCUCAGUUGAUUGAGGCCUCCGCUUCUGCUCCUGCCGGCUGCUGUCUUCCUAAUCGGUUUUGAAGGAAAAUUAAAAACUACUGUACACAGAUACUAAAAAAUAUGUUACCUGUCUGCAAAUGGAAACUGCAAGCAAUGAAUGCUGCACUAGAGCUUUCUCCACUACUCUAAGGGCAUGCCUACUCUGGGGAGUAUUUCGAAAUAACAAGCAGACAGGCAUAUACAGAAGUGUAAUGGAUUCUGAUGGAUAAGGAACAUAUUCAAUUCACCCAGAGGACUGGAGGCACAAGUGUUGACCCUACACUCGAU